rnacentral:rRNA from 1 species
UACGGGGGGUGCGAGCGUUGUCCGGAAUCACUGGGCGUAAAGGGCGCGUAGGUGGUUUGAUAAGGGUGUGGUGAAAGUCCGGGGCUCAACCCCGGAUCUGCCGUGCCGACUGUCAAACUCGAGGGCUGUAGAGGCAGACGGAAUUCCGGGUGUAGCGGUGGAAUGCGUAGAGAUCCGGAGGAAGACCGGUGGCGAAGGCGGUCUGCUGGGCAGUGGCUGACACUGAGGCGCGACAGCGUGGGGAGCAAACAGG